rnacentral:rRNA from 1 species
CGUAAAGCGCAUGCAGGCGGCCUGUUAAGUCAGAUGUGAAAGACCCGGGGCGUUAACCUCGGAAUUGCAUUUGAAACUGGCAGGCUAGAGUCUUGUAGAGGGGGGUAGGAAUUUCAGGUGUAGCGGUGAAAUGCGUAGAGAUCUGAAGGAAUACCAGUGGCGAAGGCGGCCCCCUCGGACAAAGACUGACGCUCAGAUGCGAAAGCGUGGGGAGCAAACAGGAUUAGAUACCCUGGUAG